AACAUUUAGUGAAAGAUGAUCUAAUAACCACUGACCACAACAUACAAAAUUACAAAUCUACAAAUAGUUGGAAUUAUGGAGAAAACUAAUGACCCCAGGGACAUUCCCAUAAAGGCACUGAGGCCAAAAACCAAAGGUUUGAUUAGCGACCUGUUGAAUCCGCAGACAUUUAUAUCCACUCCAGAUGGAAUAAUGCGGAACUGGCAAGGUCUAGCUGGGUUGUGCAAAAUUAAUGGAAAUUAUGAAGCUAGUCUUGUAAAUAACCCAGACCCUACAAGUAAAGUGCUCAAUUUAUGGCAAACGCAAGACCCUGAUGAUAGUACUAUAAAACAAUUCAUAUUGUUUUUAGAAGAAAUGGAUAGGUUUGAUGUUGUGGCAGAUAUUGACGAGUUAAUUGACGAAGAUAUUAGAAUAUACAGAGAAAAUCCACAGAGACCAGUAGUUAAACCAGUUUCUUUGGAAGCAGAUAAGUAUAUUAUUACAACACAUGAUGUAGAAACAAUUUGCCAGGGACGUCCUUUGGAGAAUUACGACGCCUUUCUGUUGUAUGACGAGGAUGACAGUGACUUUGCCAUACAAGUUUUGGAAACCAUGGAAAAAGACUACAAUAUGAGAUUGUGUUGUAAGGGUCAUUUACUAGGAGGAGGACUUGAAAUGGACAAAGUGAUCACUCUCAUCACACAGCGGUGUAAUCGAGUGGUUGUUAUUUUGUCAGAUACACUUUUUAAAAGUUCUGUCAAUGAUUAUUUGGUGAGAUUUACACAAGCUUUUGGGAUAGCUUCAGAUACAGACAGGAAAAUUGUGCCUAUUGCUUAUAAAGAUGUAACGAUUCAAUCUGUCCACAUUGGGAACAUGUAUAUCUUAAAUUACAAAAGAAUGUUGUAUUUUAAUUUUUGGGACCGUCUGCGAGAUAGCAUAAGAGUUGGAGAUAUUGACAAAAUGAAACUCGCGAGAUCUAAACCUGACAAAGAGACCACAAAAUCAGCUGUUAAUGCAAAUAACGAUUAUGAAUUAAAACCAUUACAUCAGGCUGUACAAUUGAAUAAUUUAGAUGCUAUCAAUAGACCACCUUCAAAUCUAAGUACAAGUGCUGAUAGUAAAGAAGAAAAAAAAUCUGGCUUGUUCAAAAUGCUCAAAGAACAUUUAAAAAAAGAAAAGAACAACUCUGUGAAACAGAAAGCCAAGAAAAACAAGCAGUUCUAUAAAAAACAUAUAAAGGAAGCCACCGCUGUUGCCAAUUAAUCGCCGUUGAUUUGGUAAUAUUAACGAGUUAACCCUAUGUUGUAUAAAUGCUCUCUAUAUCUAAUCCUCCAGUGAUAUUUUGAUUUACUCAAUUAAUUUGUAUUUUGAAUAUAAAUUUCUGUAAAUGUGGCCUAAUUUAAUAAAUGGGACCCAACACGAUUCCAGCCGGCCAAAAUUGUAAAAUUCAAAGUCAUUAGUCAUUGUUUAAAAAUGCAAGCCUUGGUCUAAACCACUCCAAAACUAAUAACAACGAUUGAAAUUAAGGUUAAACCCUAUGCGGCUAAAACAAAAAAAAAUUGAACUCUGGCGACCUCGAAUACCAAAUGUUACACUAAUAAAUGGUUGGCUUUUUGAAAACCACACAUCAAUGACCUCGAAAACGUCCAAAUACAAAGUUUUACACCCUAAUAACACAAUUCUGAGCUUUAUGUCGCCAGCACAAAUCCGCUAUUUCGAAUUUUGAAAAGCCAGUAGGUAUCAUAUUCCAAAUUAGCUAUCUUGAGAACCCACGACUGCAAGGUUUUACGCUGAAAUAUUACUGUAUAUUCGCCAUUUUGAUUUGGAAAAACCACAAUCGAUAAUGGAAAACCAAUUCAACGACCUCGAAAAUCCCCAACUCGUUUAUUAUUGUAGCUGUUGUUUUUUGUUUUUGGCCAGCUAAAAUCGUGUUUGAUUCCUCUGUGGAACCUAGGAUCAAUGAAUAUUUUAAAAAUACUUCAACGUUAUGGUGUCAGCAUGUGAAGGUAGAGAAGAAGGCGAGCCGACGUGUUGCGAAUGUUGGAGAUUAUAAAAAGGAAUUAUGUGCAAAACAUCAGUAGGUUUCCACAUCAAUGUAAGUUUUCUGGAAGAAAUUGGUACCAGUUCUAAUGGAAAUGAUUGAACCCAAGUCAUAAUUAGUUCUCAAAAUCUCGAACAAAUUUUGGAAAUAUUUCCCGUUGAUCUAUAAUAGGUGCCACACCAUCAGUAAUGCAGGUGGACUAUAUCUGACACUAUUUUCAUUUAUUUCAGUUUAUUGUUAUUAUUAAUAGCGAUUGUGAAUUAAUAUAAGGAAUUGUGUACCCACCACACAAAUUUUCAAGGAGAAAUUUUGGUAAUAGAGGUGGCUUUUGAAGAGGUUAUAGAGACGGUGGUUUUGGAAACUGAGGUAGCUUUAAAAACAGAGGAAGAUGUAAAUCUCCAGGAAAAAGAGAAUUCCGAAGUAGAAACAGUGGAUACAACAAUUUUAUUGUAAUCAUGUACUUACCUCCCGUAUUUUUCCUUAUUUCUUUUUUUUUUUUCUUACUUAAAACAAUUUAGGUUUCGGUACCUAUCAUUUUCUUAUCAAAUUGUAAUGAAUGUCCCAUAAAAACGCAUGCACAAAAAAAUAAGUAACAGAAGAGGUAAGAACGUUGUUACUGUGAUCAACCGCUGUACUAUUUUUUUUAAUAAAAGACAUUCAAUAUUGCAAA